UAUCUGGUAUAUUAAAAGAUAGUGAGAAGGCCUAAAUAUUUAAUUUUCAUUUUUACCCGGUAGAUAUCAAACCUUUAUAUCAAGGAAAAUUUUACUAUUUUUAUUCUCAUGGAGGCUGAAACAGUUUUGAACAAUUUAGAAAAAUCGGUGAAAAGGACUGACAGCCACCUUGAUAAGAUUGUUUGGAAACUGGAUGAGUGUGAAAAGGAAGUAACAGACAUAGAAUGUGAUGAGAAUAAGGAAUCUGUCAUGCAUCUCUUAGAGACGGUAACACAAGUUAAGCAACAUUAUGAAAAUCUGCGUAAAGAGAUAUCUGAAGUACAAGAACUUCAGAAGCAGGUCCAGGAUUCGUUGAGAGACAGCACUAUGCAGGUUCAGACCCGUUGUCGCGCCUUGCGGAUGAAGCUAAUAGGGUACCAGUAGAUUUGCACAAUUUUUCCCAGUCAAUAUUCUAAAACAUGUACCUUAAUGUUGUUAUUAUUUGAUCUGUUUCUACUUAAAAACCUCACAAUAUUUAAUUAGGAAUAAGUAAUAAGCUCAAUUAAAAGGCUUAUAUACAGCCUCAUACCAUACAGUAUUGAACCCGAAAUGUCCGAUUUGUAUUGUUUAUACUUGUUUAAUAGUUCCAUGGCAUGUCAACCUUAUUGCACUAAUAGCCAAUGGUUUGGCGAUCAUUUAGAAGUUUACCUAAACUCACUCAGUUAUUGGUUGAUCCAGACCUAAAUUGCAAUUUAUGUUAAAAUGUCAAUUACAAAAUAUAUUUCUCUCUAUUCUGGACAAAAGUUAAACCUGUUUUUGAAAGAGUUUUGUCAAAUACAUUUAUAUGCGUCGAGUAGGUUUUAAUAUGCUCAAUUUUUUGUUGGUGUUAAAAUAGAUAGCAACAAUAUCAAAACAGAUAAUGUCAGGUGGUACCAGUUUGUGGUAGUUGUAGUAAUUUAAUAAAGAACAAACUUUUCUUCUCAAAGUCUGUUGACCAAACCAAAGUAUUUCAGUUUACAAGAGGAACUUAUUUGUAUUGAGUGCUGUGAGAAGAUUGGACAAAUAUAUUUUUAUUUGCAUAAUACAGUACCGUAUUGUGAGAUUUGUCUGUAAACGUAUGAAAACUAUUUUAACAAAAAUGUAAACAUGGCGUGUAAGUUGAAUGAUUGUUAAAUAUAAAGCCAUUUUUAUACAUUCUCAUUUGGAGAGCCUUGAAGAUCACAGGGAAAAGAAUUGUAUUUGUAAAUGCUGCAAGUAGGCCUAUAGUAAAAGCCAUCUAAUCCGGCAUCAAUUUCAAAGUAAAAAAUCUUUUUGAGUGCUAAUUUAAGUCAUGUUAGCUCAGUCAACAGAGGGGUGUAAUAUAUAUUGCCAGGAGCGAUUGGCAGACAUCAGUUGCACUCAAUUGAAUUGGAGGAUGUUUAUGUCUAUUUAUUGUUGGCGUUUUAUAUCACUACUAAAAUAGAAGAAAGUACAAUAAAACUCAAAAUAAUGACCUGACAGCCAACGAUUUUCUUUUGAUACUCUAAAAUUAGUUGUUAUUACAAGAAGUUCAAUUGGCUAAUAUAAUACAGUCCACUCUUGGUAGUUCAAACACUUGAUAAUUCAAAACUUUCGAUAAUUCAAAAUGAAGGCUCAGUCCCUAGAGAAUCUCUCAAUAUUUCAAAUGUUUACCAUGCAUUUUGAUACACUCGGUAUUUCAAAGUCCAAAUAGAGGGCAGGUCAAUUUGUAACACGCAGUAAUUCAAAGUUUCGUCGAAAUAACACUCUAUAAUUCAAAGUAACUCAGUAAUUCGAAGUUUCGUCGGUUAAUACUCUUUAAUUCGAAGUCAUGCUGUAAUUCAAAGUUUCGUUGAAAAAACACUCUAUAAAUCAAAGUCCCACAGUAAUUCGAAGUUUAGUCGGCAAAACACUCUAUAGUUCGAAGUGAUCUCUUCCUGUUAUAACAGGAAACUAUACAGUACAGUACAUCCUGUUCCCAUGGUAGGCUAGUGUUGGACGUUUUGAUGUUUUUUAGUUAGAGCAGUAGUCUGAGUUAGUUCGCUGACUUGUUUUUCUAAGUUGGCAAUCCGAUCUCUAGAUUGUGCGACAUCUCCUUGAGCACAAACGUAGUUGUCGACAGCUGAUAGUUCAGCUAUUGGCGAAAUAGCGCUAAAUAACAGAUUUCUUUGCAACUACAGUAACUGAAAAAUAAGCCGUUGAUUGUUUAAAAGUGUACUAAAAUACGGUAUGAUGUUUUAUUGUAACGUGCUGUACCUUUGUAUGUGUUAAACAAAAAAACUCUCUGUAAUUCGAAUGGUUUAUUUUUCUCCCGAUAAAUCAAACUCUUGAUAAUUCAAAACUCUUGAUAAUUCAAAUUGAUAUGCUUGGCCCACCAAUUUCGAAUUAUCAAGAGUCUACUGUAUUUUCAAUAAUCCGGCACUGCCAAAGUUCUGAACGUGCCGAAUCCAGCAUCUACUUUAGCGAACCUUUUCAACUGUUUAAAAUAUCUGUAAAAUCCACUCUUGAAUUUUAACUAUAUUUGAAAAGGUUCAUAGUAAAACAACAAACACUCAAUGGCAUUACAGAAGCAACCAACUUAUAAUAAAUGUUGGGGAAAAAUCUGUCUUUUAAAUAGUUAUAAGCAAAAAUACUUUCGAGAAACAGAAGGUAUUUUGUUCUGUACGCUUACUAUCAUAGACUGAAUUAGGUUUUAUCCAAUAAUGUACAUUAUCAAUGUGUGUACUGGUUCAACCAGUUUAAUGUGUGUGUGAUUGUUCAAUAGAUUUGAUGUCUCAAAUAUGAUUAAAAGCACUCCAAAAUUAGUCACUUUACAAUGAUUCCACUUAAGGGUGCGCUCUACCUCAGCUCGGAUUUCUCAAUACGAAGUUGCCGAACGCCGAUGUCCCUAUACCAUUGCAUUGAAUAGCGCCAUGAAGAGCGCUUGCAAGCCUUUCGAGUCUGCGUGAUUACAUAGUUAUUCUUAAACUUUUUAGAAAACUAAAUGCAGGUUCUUGUUUUUAAGAACCUAUUGCACUGUUCCCGUUUUACAUUUUUCUCUAAAAAAUAUUUGUAUGCAUUUAAACUUAUGAUAAAAAACACGUAUUUUAACAUUUUUACCAACCUUUGAGCCCAACAUUUUUGAGUUACCGUAUCAAAAUUUUAAAAACCGGCAAAACUACUAUAUUAUUUAAUGAAAUAUAUGACACCAAGAUCUUUUUAACCGGUUCACAAUUGGGGUUAUAAUUAGUAAGAACUAAACCCCUUGCAUUCGCGUGCGCCAGACGGGUAGAGCGCAGCCUUAAAGUGACGGAUUGCAUAAGUUAUUUUUGUCAAUUUUAAACUAUAAGUAUCCAUGGCAAAAAAAGUAGUUCACUUUCUAAGUUUUUGAAUGCAAACAGAAUAUUCUUUGAUUAAUCAUGUUCUAGACAACAGUUUUAUUUUUAAUGAAAAUUUGUUUACCUUUUGUAUAUGAAAGAAUAUUAAGAAAAUACAGUUAAUGAAUUUAAUUUUACCUUUGUAAUGUUUAAGAGAGUAUUUAAUUAAUUCUUUAUUAUUUCAAUUCAGAAAUUCAACUGUCCUAAAAAGAUUUAGUAGGUUUUACUCGUAAAACGAACUAUCACGAACAACAUUGUAUUAUUUUUAACUAAUUUGAGAAAUAUUAACAUUUUUUCCCGUUCAUAAAUUAUACUCUGUUCACAAAAUUUAGGGGAGAAGCAAUUAGAUCCCCUCCACAUCAACCUAACUACGAAACAACAGCCUACAGCUGAUUAACUGAUAUAUGCAAUAAUUUUAAAUUAUCAGAUAUCCAAUAUAAGUACUGUUCUGGUUAUAUGUAACAAACUUGAUCCUGUUAAAAAGAUAAUCGGGAAUGUUUAAAAGAUUAUAAGCUUAGUAUUUUCCAACAGAUCAUUGACUGUACAUAAUUUUUCCCUGAAAAAAAAAUAAUUCAAUUCAAAUCAUUGACCUUAAAUCUUAGCUUUGUACUCAGUUUGUAGAUAAUUGAUUUCAGAAAAAGUAUUAAAAUUUUUAAGGUAAUGGAUUAAUAUGUUUUUUUUUACUAGACUAGAUAACUCAAAAAUGUAAAUCUUAGAUAAGACAAGAUUCAAAAAAUGUUUCUUCCGUAAAACAUCUAUAAAACAUAUGCAAAUAUUUAAUUUAUGAUCAUACCACUAAUUUAGGUUACCUUUAGCCUAAUAGAAGGUAUAAAAAACAGCUCAAUAAUUUUUAACAUUUGACUUUAAAAGCUACAAAUAAAACUAAUAGCAUGUGAGCAUAGACUGUUAAAAGACUGACUACAUUAAUGGUUAUCAGCCAAACAAAUUUUUUAUCCCACUUUUACCUUUGUGUCAAAUAAUUAUUGUACAAAAUUAGCACAAAUAAUUGACUCAUUCUUCAUACAUUAAAGUAGAUUAGUGUGUUUAAAUUGUGAUAAGACACUUUUUAUUAGUUUUAAGCCUUGGAUUUGAUCAUUUUCUUUAUAUAUAUAUACAAAUAUAUAAAUUUAUUCUUGAACUCACUAAAUGUUUUCACUCCACUCGCACAAUGUUAACCCAAAAGGUAGAUGAUUAGUGUAUAUUUUGUAAACGUUUAUCCUUAUCAUAUUAUGCAUGUUUUAUUAAUUAACAAAACCUUUACGGUACUUGAAAGAACAAUUAUUUUCUAGUCAGAUAAUAUAAGUUGUUAGUAUGAUGUAAUGACAGUGCUACUUAAAUAAUACAGAAUGUGCCAAAAAUAUUAAAUCAUUAAAUGAAGUUAAUAUGAAAUGUUAUCCAUUCUAAAAACUGCUACAUGUUGAUGCAAUAUGAAUUACCAAUUUCAAAAUACAUACACAUCUUCAAAAUCAAGGUAAUUUAAAUGAAGGAUAAAUUAAAAUAUUUCAUGUUGUAGUUAACACAUUAACAGUACUAUGUAGUACUAUACACUUUGUACAGAGGUGUACAAAAUGUUUUUGUUUUUCAAAUUCACACAGGAUUAAUACGUUUGGGGGCCCAUUUUUUAAUUGUUGAACAGGCAACAUUUAGCUAAAGAAACUUAGUACAUAAGGACUGUUAGAGUAAAAUACUAGCUUAGUCUAUUGCCUCAAAAUAGAGUGUUUCAGGGGGAAAAGUCAAAUUAUUAAAUGUAACCCCACAUAAAUGACACCUCCGUUUAAUGGUCUUAACAUAAUAUCUUAAAAACUAUGAUCUGUAUCAUUACUCAGUAAAAACCGGCAGCCAUUUCAAAAUUGAAUAAAGUUAUAACUUUAUACAAGCAAACUAAUUAUUCCGUCAUUAAACCUUCCAUAAGUAUUUGCUCAGUAAUCCAAUGCCUAGCACACCUAGGACUGACAUCCUAUCAGAUCAGUUUUAAUUGUUUCAAAUAUACCCCCCCCCCUUUGGAACAACUCCACAUUCUAAAGGGUUUAUAAAAAAGGCAUACUUAAAAAUCUGGGUAACGGUAUCUGUUCCUUAAACAAAAUUAAAUGAUUGCAAUGUCAAUUUUUUUACGGAAUUAACAACCAAUAGCUCUACUUUAUGUUUGAAAGUUUAAAAAUGCUCCCAGACUUAAAUUUUGUCUGGUCAAUUCCUUAAAUUUCAAAAACUUAAUUGGAAAAUUCAAUCUUAUAAAUUUCCUAUGAAUAUGAGACAAUUUUUGAAGCACUGUAUUGUUAUCUGUAGUUAUUGUUACAUUUGAUAGAUAUAUAUGUGAUGUACUUUGUUGGUUCAACUUAGUGUUACAAAAACUAUAUGUUUCA